GAUGAACGCUAGCGGGAGGCCUAACACAUGCAAGCCGAGCGGUAGAGAUUCUUCGGAAUCUUGAGAGCGGCGUACGGGUGCGGAACACGUGUGCAACCUACCUUUAUCUGGAGGAUAGCCUUUCGAAAGGAAGAUUAAUACUCCAUAAUAUAUUGAUUGGCAUCAAUUGAUAUUGAAAGCUCCGGCGGAUAGAGAUGGGCACGCGCAAGAUUAGUUAGUUGGUGAGGUAACGGCUCACCAAGACGAUGAUCUUUAGGGGCCUGAGAGGGUGAUCCCCACACUGGUACUGAGACACGGACCAGACUCCUACGGGAGGCAGCAGUGAGGAAUAUUGGUCAAUGGGUGCAAGCCUGAACCAGCCAUCCCGCGUGAAGGACGACUGCCCUAUGGGUUGUAAACUUCUUUUGUAUAGGGAUAAACCUACCCUCGUGAGGUAGCUGAAGGUACUAUACGAAUAAGCACCGGCUAACUCCGUGCCAG
rnacentral:rRNA from 1 species